rnacentral:rRNA from 1 species
GACGAACGCUAGCGGCGUGCUUAACACAUGCAAGUCGAACGGAAAGGCCCCUUUGGGGGUACUCGAGUGGCGAACGGGUGAGUAACACGUGAGUAACCUGCCCUUGACUUCGGGAUAACUUCAGGAAACUGGGGCUAAUACCGGAUAGGAAUCCUUGCUGCAUGGUGGGGGUUGGAAAGCUUCGGCGGUUUUGGAUGGACUCGCGGCUUAUCAGCUUGUUGGUGGGGUAGUGGCUUACCAAGGCUUUGACGGGUAGCCGGCCUGAGAGGGCGACCGGCCACAUUGGGACUGAGAUACGGCCCAGACUCCUACGGGAGGCAGCAGUGGGGAAUAUUGCACAAUGGGCGGAAGCCUGAUGCAGCAACGCCGCGGGCGGGAUGACGGCCUUCGGGUUGUAAACCGCUUUCAGCAGGGGCGAAGCUUGUGGUGACGGUACCUGCAGAAGAAGCACCGGCUAACUACGUG